UACAGAGGUCCCAAACGUUGUUCGGAUUCACUGGGCGUAAAGGGCGCGUAGGUGGCUUGGUAAGCGUGUGGUGAAAGCCUGGGGCUCAACCCCGGGUCGGCCAUGCGAACUGCCGAGCUUGAGCACUGUAGAGGCAGGCGGAAUUCCGGGUGUAGCGGUGGAAUGCGUAGAGAUCCGGAAGAACACCAGUGGCGAAGGCGGCCUGCUGGGCAGUUGCUGACACUGAGGCGCGACAGCGUGGGGAGCAAACAGG
rnacentral:rRNA from 1 species